rnacentral:lncRNA from 1 species
GAUAAGGGGAGAGAUUUUAGGGAUUUGAGAGGGAGAUAGAGUUAGCCAAUUUGAGGGGAUUAGAGAGGGGAUUUCGGCAGAGGGGUAUUAGGUUAGAAUUUUCGGCAUUAGGGACUAGGUUGUGCCAUUUUCUUCUUUUGGUUUAGUCUUUUUCUCUCUUUUUCUUUUCCAGCCGAAUCUAUCACCUUUCCCUUCAACUUUUCUCCCUUUUCUUUCUCAAAAACCAGCCCACUACUCCCUUCCAUUCAUCUAUUGUUUCUUUCCCUUACCUCCACAUCUGCCGAAAAAACGCAAAAGCCGAAACCUGUGAAGCUAGGUGGUGUCGAAAGCUUGUUGACC